rnacentral:rRNA from 1 species
AGAGUUUGAUCCUGGCUCAGUUGAACGCUGGCGGCAGGCCUAACACAUGCAAGUCGAACGGUAACACAGAGAGCUUGCUCUCGGGUGACGAGUGGCGGACGGGUGAGUAAUGUCUGGGAAACUGCCUGAUGGAGGGGGAUAACUACUGGAAACGGUAGCUAAUACCGCAUAACGUCGCAAGACCAAAGAGGGGGACCUUCGGGCCUCUUGCCAUCAGAUGUGCCCAGAUGGGAUUAGCUAGUAGGUGGGGUAAUGGCUCACCUAGGCGACGAUCCCUAGCUGGUCUGAGAGGAUGACCAGCCACACUGGAACUGAGACACGGUCCAGACUCCUACGGGAGGCAGCAGUGGGGAAUAUUGCACAAUGGGCGCAAGCCUGAUGCAGCCAUGCCGCGUGUAUGAAGAAGGCCUUCGGGUUGUAAAGUACUUUCAGCGGGGAGGAAGGUGUUGUGGUUAAUAACCGCAGCAAUUGACGUUACCCGCAGAAGAAGCACCGGCUAACUCCGUGCCAGCAGCCGCGGUAAUACGGAGGGUGCAAGCGUUAUUCGGAAUUACUGGGCGUAAAGCGCAC